GUCCCGAUCGUCUAGAGGCCUAGGACAUAACCCUCUCAAGGUUAGAACACGAGUUCGAAUCUCGUUCGGGACGCCA
rnacentral:tRNA from 1 species